AGCCUUUAGCAAUACAAGUAUUAAAGGUCCCGCCUGCCCAGUGAAACCCCUUCAACGGCCGCGGUAUUCUAACCGUGCAAAGGUAGCGUAAUCACUUGUCCCCUAAAUAGGGACCAGUAUGAACGGCUAAAUGAGGACAAACCUGUCUCCUACAACCAAUCAGUGAAACUGAUCUUCCAGUACAAAAGCUGAAAUACAUACAUAAGACGAGAAGACCCUGUGGAGCUUAAAAUUGACUACUACACCAACAUACCUAGUACAAAAUUUUAAGUUGGGGCGACUUCGGAAUAAAACAAAACUUCCGAGCACAGAACCAUAAAUUCUUGACAAGGCCCACAAGCCAAAACACAAACUGACCCAGUCAUACUGACCAACGAACCAAGUUACCCCAGGGAUAACAGCGCCAUCUUCUUCAAGAGCCCCUAUCGACAAGAAGGUUUACGACCUCGAUGUUGGAUCAGGACACCCAAAUGGUGCAGCCACUAUUAAAGGUUCGUUUGUUCAACGAUUAACAGUGCCUAGACCUAA
rnacentral:rRNA from 1 species